rnacentral:rRNA from 1 species
AACGUAGGACGCAAGCGUUAUCCGGAGUUACUGGGCGUAAAGCGCGGGCAGGCGGCUCGAUGCGUCUGAUGUGAAAUCUCCUCGCUCAACGGGGAGAGGCCAUUGGAAACGGACGAGCUGGAGGGCAGUAGAGGUAGGCGGAAUUCCGGGUGUAGCGGUGGAAUGCGUAGAGAUCCGGAAGAACACCGGUGGCGAAGGCGGUUAGCUGGGCAGUUGCUGACACUGAGGCGCGACAGCGUGGGGAGCAAACAGG